rnacentral:rRNA from 1 species
UAGGGAAUCUUCGGCAAUGGACGGAAGUCUGACCGAGCAACGCCGCGUGAGUGAAGAAGGUUUUCGGAUCGUAAAGCUCUGUUGUAAGAGAAGAACGAGUGUGAGAGUGGAAAGUUCACACUGUGACGGUAUCUUACCAGAAAGGGACGGCUAACUACGUGCCAGCAGCCGCGGUAAUACGUAGGUCCCGAGCGUUGUCCGGAUUUAUUGGGCGUAAAGCGAGCGCAGGCGGUUAGAUAAGUCUGAAGUUAAAGGCUGUGGCUUAACCAUAGUAGGCUUUGGAAACUGUUUAACUCGAGUGCAAGAGGGGAGAGUGGAAUUCCAUGUGUAGCGGUGAAAUGCGUAGAUAUAUGGAGGAACACCGGUGGCGAAAGCGGCUCUCUGGCUUGUAACUGACGCUGAGGCUCGAAAGCGUGGGGAGCAAACAGGAUUAGAUACCCUGGUAGUCCACGCUGUAAACGAUGAGUGCUAGGUGUUAGACCCUUUCCGGGGUUUAGUGCCGUAGCUAACGCAUUAAGCACUCCGCCUGGGGAGUACGACCGCAAGGUUG